UACGGGGGGGGUAAGCGUUGUUCGGAAUUACUGGGCGUAAAGGGCUCGUAGGCGGCCAACUAAGUCAUACGUGAAAUCCCUCAGCUUAACUGGGGAACUGCGUGUGAUACUGGAUGGCUUGGAUUUGGGAGAGGGAUGUGGAAUUCCAGGUGUAGCGGUGAAAUGCGUAGAUAUCUGGAGGAACACCGGUGGCGAAGGCGGCAUCCUGGACCAAUAUUGACGCUGAGGAGCGAAAGCCAGGGGAGCAAACGGG
rnacentral:rRNA from 1 species